CUGGGCACUGCAGAGAGUACAGUCUAUCGUCAGAUUUAAACAAAACAAAACAAAACAAAACAAAAAGCAAACCUCGGCAACUGUAUAAAUCACUUAUACAUUUAUAAAAUUAUACUUAUACAUUUAUAAAUCAUUUAUAAACUGUAUAAACACACAAUUUCAGAGCAAUCUGUUGUGCGAUGGUCGGCUCAUUAUUUUAACCAGUGAUUAGGGGAGCAGUUGAGCAAUAUUUACAUGUGUAAAUCUAAGAAUGAGAAAGACAGAGUUUUGCAAGGAUAGCUCACUGAGAGGCAAAGACCCUAUUUUUAAAGACAGAGUGUUUCGUGCACUUCUAUAUCUGACUGGGAAGGUGAUUUAUUCUGCCUUUUGCAGGAAUUAAUACUGAAAUUAAUAUUAAUCAAAGGCAGAGGAGAUGAGAGCAGAGGAUGGUCCUGUGAUGGAUGGUCACACGCUUCUCCUUGCCGUGAAGUGUCUCUCCUUCAGCAUGCCUGUUCCCACCCCUUUCACAGAUUUGCCUUGUCUGGAAGACCUUGAUGGCGGCCUCAUUAGGACACCCCUUAUUCUGUAGUUGAGACCCAGAGAAGUUUAGCAGUUUGUUUAGCUCGCAUAGUUGGUUAGUAACAGAGCUGGUCCUAAAAUUUUGGAUCAUUUCCAAACCCAGUGUUUGCAGUAUUAUAUUACACUGGGAAACACUCGUGCUGAUCACUGUGAGCACUUGAUAAAUACUGGAUUUGUAAGAGCAGCCUAUUUGCCUCCGAUUGCUGACUGUUCUCUUUCAAGUCAUAUUUAUUUGAACUGAAAACUACUGCCUUUUGAUGGCUACUCGGCUGCCUAUAGGAAACGAGCUGGUGUGUGCGUUCCAGCCCUGUUGGACAGCUGAACCCAUUGCAACAAAUCAACGUCAAAAGUGGCACUUCAGGGGGAACACAUACCAUUUAUUUAGUACCCCCAGGGGAGUAGCUCAAAGUGAUUUGAUGAUGUCUCAUUAAUCCUCAUGACACCCCUGUGAGAUAAUAAUACUAUUAUUAUAAUGUUUAAGUGUAGAACUGUGUGGCAAAGCAAACAGCUUCUCAGAGCCUGUGCAGGACUGACUGCUUUGCAUUUCUGUCCCCAAUAUUCAAGUCUAAGAAAAAACCAUCAGGUUUGCGAGCAGCAAGUGAAUCUUGGCAUUUGGCCUUUCUGUUUGCUCUACAUAUAGAUUUGGCUUCUGACUGACCAUAGCAGGGAUAGAAAUAACUUUGCAUUUGCUCACCAGAUGGGAAGCAACAUCUGGGAGAAGCUCUGAGAUAUCCGAGGAUGUGAAAGGAUUAGGAACUAUCCUAACCCACAUUUAAAGAGGAGAAGGAACACUUACCCACAUACUAGGUAUUGUGCCUUACGAACUUUAAAUAUAGAUCUUGCCCUUAUUGAGAAUUCAGCUUAUAUAGAAUUCAGAGGAAAGGCUACGUAAGUUUGUGCCUUUAGUUAACAAUACAAGAAUUCAACGCUUUUAGUUAACAACACAGGAAAGUAUGUAAGUAUGUAAGUAGUAUGGAAGUAACAAGAUAACCUGUAGCCACUGAAGCCAGGCAGGGCCAUGGUGAUCCUGAAUCAUAUCAAGUUCAUUUCUGUCUCGGUCUUCAGACUUUCUCUUCCAUAUCCCUCAAACGCUCUUCCUCUGGUUUUUAGAGAAACAUUCAUUAGAUAACUAAUGGUAUCUAAAAUUCUUCAUGUGAAAAGUAAACAAUGCCUUCCCUUACCAUUCUUGUGUGAUUUUAAAUAAAUACUCUUUCCCUCUCUUCCAUCAGUGCUCUGUUAUUCUGCUUCCCUAUCUUCCUUGGAUUGAUUUACUGAAAUUAUAUUUUGUGUAUUCAUUUACAUACAUAUAUAACAAUGGAUUUUAUUAUAAUUUUAUAUAGUACAUAUUGUAUUUUAAAAAUCAUAGUCACUCCACUUUCCCUGUCUUCCCACCCUCAAAAGAUUCCCUUCCUCCUCUGUCUGGUCUCCUUUCUAGUUUUGUGGGUUUCUUUCCUCCUCUGUCUGUCUCUCUGUCUAUCUGCCUUUCUUCCUCUCUGCCUCUCUACUUAUCUUCUUCUUUCUGUCUCUCUGUGAUUUUUAUAGGGGAUUGUGUACAAGAUUAUGGAUUCUCCAUCAGUGAUGACACUACUGAAGACAAGGGUUCUUUCCCAGUGACCAUUAUCAGGGAGAGAGAGAUCUUGAACAGUUCUUGGCACAUAUCGAAUGCUUAGUAGAAGAAAGAAGAGGUUAGGGGUGAGCACAGGAGGCAUGCUGGCACAGGGGUUGCUACAGGACAAGUGCAGUUGAAGAAGUACAGCAGCAGAAAAAUGAUUAUGAAGCACCAAUUUAAACAUGAUAGAUGAUGAUGAAGGAGUUACUGGAUUUAACUUCACUGCAAAGAAGGACUCUGUGUGUACAGAGGAAGUCACUACAAAAAUAGAUGCAGCUCUGAGUUCUGACUUUGGCUAAGAUGUCUCUUGAGUGUCCCUCAGAAUGACCCAGCAGUCUGUAUCCUCACACGGCAGGAUGAUUUUCAGAAAAACGUUUCUGUUCAGGGAAGAUGAAAAUCCUGUCAGCAAACAUGCCAGCUUGAGAGGUAGGGUGACAGUAUUAGACCAAGAUUUUAAGUAAGCACACUGCUUUCUUCAUGAGCCUCUGCACAUGAAAGAAAAUAAGCAGGCACAGGGACACCUGCAUGGCCUUUUCUGAUUCUGGCUAAUUUAUUGAAAUGCAGGCACAGUCACCUCUAAUCAUAGAUAAGGUGCAGUUAAUGAUGAGAUAGGCUGUGACGGCUCCUGGUAUGUAGCAAUUAUUCAUUUGCAGAUGUGAAUCUUCUCAACGCUCAACACUGAGUAGAAACAAUAGAAUGGUUUCAAGAGCACCACUGAACAUACAUUUUUCUGGCAAGGGGAACAUUAAAAACAGUACUACAAUGCUGUCCCCAGGGUUUUUCUCCAAAUGGAUUUGACAAAGGAUGUUUUAAAGAUUUCUAGAGAAUUCCUGUAAUUUGUGUCCUCAUGUGUCUCCUGUGAACUACUCUGUUGUAAGACCCUGGAUGAGCUGCAAUUUAGCUCUUUUAUUUCAAGAGCUAAAAGGAAUUAUUUUAGUCAUGUGAUUGAGCUGACAUUAUUGUGAACUAUUGAACAUAAGUUAACAUGAAAUUGAAAAGCUUUUACAAACACUUCUGAGAACCUGUUGAAACAUUAUAAAGUCAAGGGCAAAUUUGAUUGAGGUUUUUUGUAUUGCUAGUCUGGGAAAGCUGAAACCUAUUUAUUAAACUAUACUAAAUCGUAUGGCAUUAUUACCUUUUCAUUGGUUUUGCAAUGGGGUUGACAAAGCAA